ACUCUAUCUCUUUCUAUCUAAAAUUUCCAGACACUCUCUACUACUAUAAUCCCCUCUUCUGUUGUAAUCCUCCUAUGUUUAUGGAAUAAAGCUUUUUAAAAAGUAAGUCUUUAUUGUUUUACUUAUUGUUUUUCAUACAAUUGCUUUAUAAUCUUUCUUACUUUCCGAUCCUGUUUUACUUAUAGGAAAAUCAUAACAGGAAAAAAUUGAAGGACGAGCUGAUUCAGAAAAUCGUACCAUACAUAAGUGACAAAUCAUUUGGAUUUAAGAAAAGGAAAAAAGAACCAUCUAUUUGAAGAGUAAGC
rnacentral:lncRNA from 1 species